GACGCAGUCCUACAGGCAGGGGCAGCUAGGUGGGAAUAUUGCACAAUGGGCGCAAGCCUGAUGCAGCCAUGCCGCGUGUGUGAAGAAGGCCUUCGGGUUGUAAAGCACUUUCAGUCGUGAGGAAGGUAGUGUAGUUAAUAGCUGCAUUAUUUGACGUUAGCGACAGAAGAAGCACCGGCUAACUCCGUGCCAGCAGCCGCGGUAAUACGGAGGGUGCGAGCGUUAAUCGGAAUUACUGGGCGUAAAGCGCAUGCAGGUGGUUUGUUAAGUCAGAUGUGAAAGCCCGGGGCUCAACCUCGGAAUUGCAUUUGAAACUGGCAGGCUAGAGUACUGUAGAGGGGGGUAGAAUUUCAGGUGUAGCGGUGAAAUGCGUAGAGAUCUGAAGGAAUACCGGUGGCGAAGGCGGCCCCCUGGACAGAUACUGACACUCAGAUGCGAAAGCGUGGGGAGCAAACAGGAUUAGAUACCCUGGUAGCUACGAGU
rnacentral:rRNA from 1 species